rnacentral:tRNA from 1 species
GUCUUCGUAGUACACUUAAUACACUGGUCUUGUAAACCAGAAAAGGAGAAUAACCAAUCUCCCUAAGACU